CGACUGACGCUGAGGCACGAAAGCGUGGGUAUCGAACAGGAUUAGAUACCCUGGUAGUCCACGCGGUAAACGAUGAAUACUGGUUAUUCGGCCGUUACAGGUUGAGUGACUCAAGCGAAAGCAUUAAGUAUUCCACCUGGGGAGUACGCCGGCAACGGUGAAACUCAAAGGAAUUGACGGGGGCCCGCACAAGCGGAGGAACAUGUGGUUUAAUUCGAUGAUACGCGAGGAACCUUACCCGGGCUCAAACGCAGAGAGACGUUGGCUGAAAGGCCAAUUUCCUUCGGGACUGUCUGCGAGGUGCUGCAUGGUUGUCGUCAGCUCGUGCCGUGAGGUGUCGGCUUAAGUGCCAUAACGAGCGCAACCCCCAUCUCCAGUUGCCACCGCGUAAAGGCGGGCACUCUGGAGAGACUGCCGGCGCAAGCUGUGAGGAAGGCGGGGAUGACGUCAAAUCAGCACGGCCCUUACGUCCGGGGCGACACACGUGUUACAAUGGCGGGGCACAGAAGGAAGCCAGGCGGCGACGCCGAGCCGAUCCCGAAAACCCGUCUCAGUUCGGAUCGGAGUCUGCAACCCGACUCCGUGAAGCUGGAUUCGCUA
rnacentral:rRNA from 1 species